GGCUCAGUGGUCCAGUACCCCUGAGUUCAAUCCCCAGUACCAAAAACAAAGGGCUGGGGAUGUAGCUCAGUAGUAGGGUACCUGCCUAGAGUGUGUGAGGACCUGGAUUAAAUUCUGCCUCUGCACCCCCCAAAAAAAAUCACAAAGAGUGUUACCAACCAGGCAUUAUGGCAUGUCAUUAUGGCACAUGCCUGUGAUGUCAGCUACUCUUGAAGCUAAGACAGGAGGAUUGCAAGUUUGAGGUCAUGCAUGGGUAACUAAGGGCUGGGGAUGUAGGUUAGUGGGAGAGUGCCCCUGGGUUCAAUUCCAGUACUGGGGGCAGCCGGGGAGUUACUAGACUCAUGAUUUAUGGACAUUUCCAUUCUGUUUACACUUUUUUUUUUUUUUCUGGUACUGGGGAUUGAAUCCAAAGGUUUUAACCACUGAGCCUGAUUCCCAGCCCUUUUUUUAAAUAUAUAUAUUUUUAAAGUUUAAUCUUAAACUGGGAGCAUUUUUUUUUUAGUUGUAGAUAGACAUAAUGCCUUUAUUUUAUUUGUGUAUUUUUAUGUGGUGCUGAGGAUCAAACCCAGUGCCUCACGCAUGCUAGGCAAGCACUCUGCCAUUGAGCUACAGCCCCAGCCCUAUAUUUUAUUUUGAGACAGGAUCUCAUUAAGUUGUUCAGGGCCUCACUAAGUUGCCAAGUCUGGCUUUGAACUCAUGAUCUUCCUGCCUCUGCCUCCGGAGCUGUUGAAAUUAUAGGCAUGUGCUACCAUGCCUGGUUUACACUUUUCUUUUUUUACUUUGUAACUGGGUCUCUGGACUGGAACUUUCCAUCAUGUAUCUAUGUCACAAAUCCUGUGGACUGUUUGGCUUUGGCUGCCUAGAACAUAGCGAUUAUGGAGAGAGAACAUAUUGUAUGUCAAAAUUAUCUUGUACUAUCUCAGGCCCUUUAGAAAAAUAGCCAUUUUAUUUUUUUAUUAUUAUUAUUUUUGUAGAUGGACACAAUACCUUUACUUUAUUUAUGUGGUGCUGAGGAACAAACCCAGUGCCCCACGUAUGAGAGGCAAGUGCUCUACCACUGAGCCACAACCCCAACCCUUAUUUUUUAAACUUUUUUUUUUUUUUAGUUGCAGAUGGACACCAUGCCUUUAUUUUAUUUAUUUAUUUUUAUAUGGUACUGAGGAUCAAACCCAGUGCCUCACACAUGCUAGGCAAAUGCUUUGCCACAGAGCUACAACCCCAGCCCGCUGUCUUUUAACCUUUGUAUCUGACUUAAC
rnacentral:lncRNA from 1 species